rnacentral:rRNA from 1 species
UACGUAGGGGGCGAGCGUUGUCCGGAUUUAUUGGGCGUAAAGAGCGUGUAGGCGGCUAGGUAGGUCCGCUGUGAAAACUCGGGGCUCAACCCCGAGAGGUCGGUGGAAACCAUCUGGCUAGAGUCCGGAAGAGGAGAGUGGAAUUCCCGGUGUAGCGGUGAAAUGCGCAGAUAUCGGGAAGAACACCCGUGGCGAAGGCGGCUCUCUGGGACGGUACUGACGCUGAGACGCGAAAGCGUGGGGAGCGAACAGG